rnacentral:rRNA from 1 species
UGACUGGAUCAUACCACCCUGAACGUGCCCGAUCUCGUCUGAUCUCGGAAGCUAAGCAGGGUCGGGCCUGGUUAGUACUUGGAUAGGAGGUAGUAUAUUUCUACUACCUCUCCAGGUUUUUUUUUUU